rnacentral:tRNA from 1 species
GCGCCCGUGGCGCAAUUGGAUAGCAUCGGUCUUCGGAACCGAGGGUUGUAGGUUCGAAUCCUACCGGGCGUG